rnacentral:rRNA from 1 species
UACGUAGGGGGCUAGCGUUGUCCGGAAUCAUUGGGCGUAAAGCGCGCGUAGGCGGCCCGGUAAGUCCGUUGUGAAAGUCAAAGGCUCAACCUUUGAAAGCCGAUGGAUACUGUGCGGCUAGAGUGCGGAAGGGGCAACUGGAAUUCUUGGUGUAGCGGUGAAAUGCGUAGAUAUCAAGAGGAACACCUGCGGCGAAGGCGGGUUGCUGGGCCGACACUGACGCUGAGGCGCGAAAGCCAGGGGAGCGAACGGG